rnacentral:lncRNA from 10 species
UUUUUAUUUAAAUACAUUUAUUUGAACCGGCCUGGGGGAGGCUUGAUGUUGAUGGGUUGGUGAUUAAAGCCUCCCAAAGCCAAUCCUUGGCAUGGCCUUUGGGACUCAAAACACAGGAUCUGACUGGUGGGCACAAUACCAUCUUGAACGCCCACAAAAAGGUUUGGUUUUGUUGCCAAAGGGCAGGUGGCUCCAGGCAGGGCUGAUGGUGGCAGGUGGGGGUGAGGAGCCUGCGGUGCUCCCCAGAAAAGGGGAAGGGGCAGUGGGGUGAGAAGGUCCUGGCUCCCCUUCUCCCGGCCUUCCUCUGCCUGGGGCCCACUGCAUCUGAUUGGCAGUCACUUCCCAUGAGGGCCUGGCCCACCCGCUGCAGUUGCCCUAAGGAAAAAUAAAGCUGCCUUUCCCCUGUCCUGCUGUGGCCAAAGUGUCCUUGCUCCAGGUUCCUGCCCUGGGCUUGGGCCUCCGUCUGGGCUGCUCACAAGACCUUCUUUUCGGGAGACA